GGUCUUUGAAUAACUCAUCACCACAUUUUCUACCUACCAUAAGCCACUUCAUUUGUUCUAUGUAUCAGAAAGUAUAGAAAGAUAGAGGAAUCUCAAGAGAAGAAGGGAAAGCAAGGCUAGUGGAGAAGAAGAAGAAGAAGGAAAACUUGAAACCAACACCAUCAUCUUCAUCCUCAUCUCAUCUUCAACAACUUCUCCUCUUCAAUUUCUUGAGGUGGGUUCUAGUUAGAAACUCUAGGUUUCUAGAAAGGUUAGGGUUGUAGAAUGUUAGACAAAUCAUGAUAAUCCAUGCUAUAUAAUGAAUAUGUUCUUGCUCUUAUUGACUUCCAUGAACAUGUGCUUUGUUGUGUUCUUAUAUUGGUUACGAUAACAUGAUUUGUUAUGGUUGUGGUGGAAUAAUUGGUUGUGAUUAUGACCUUGAAAAUCCUUGUGGUUGUGAGCUUGAAAUCCUUGAUUUAUAUGUGUAUGAGAACAUUUAAUAUGAUGGGUUGUUGUUGGAAGAAGUAGUGGUUGUCAUACCCCGAUUUUGGCCCUGAAAAUUUUUCCCCAUCAAUCACUCGUUUGCAUUCUUUCUUCAUUCACCUUCAUAUCCUUCAUUCAUGUUCAUGUUUACUAUUUCAUAUUUUCUAUGUUUUUCACAUUCCAAAUUUACAUUCAUAUUUUCUUCAUUCACAUUGAAAAAAUUCCAUUCAUAUUCAAGAAUUUCCACAUACUCAUUCAUAGUUCGAUUCCUUCGUUCAUUCAUUCAAUCAUAAUCAUCUAUGUACAUCGCAUAUGAAUAACUUAUAAAAAAAACAUCUCAUCACAUGAAUACAUGAAGUGUUUAGUAAUAUCAUACAGGAUUAUAUAUGUGCGGUUACCGUCUCCAUAAACCCCAACAUCUGAUAUAUCAUCUCACAGUUUUUGUUAAUCGCUAUGUCUGUUGAUUCGCUAAACGACGUCGCUUCGUGCUCCCCGAAGAUGGAAAAGUUCCUCUGUGAAUUUCUGUUGGACUCCACUCAACCCAUCUCUGAACGCUUCAGAGCCCUAUUCUCUCUUCGGAACCUCAAAGGCCCCGCUCCUCGCACCUCCCUUAUUCUCGCAACUAGAGAUUCAUCCAAUUUGUUAGCACAUGAAGCUGCGUUUGCAUUAGGUCAAAUGCAAGAACUGGAAGCCAUUCUUACAUUGACCUCGGUUCUUAAUGAUCUUUCUUUGCAUCCCAUUGUUCGCCAUGAGGCAGCGGAAGCAUUUGGCGCUAUUGGAUCAGAUAGUAAUGUUUCUCUUUUGAAGCGAAGUUUGGAUUCUGAUCCGGCUCAAGAGGUUCGAGAGACGUGUGAAUUGGCUCUUCAACGUAUUCUAAAUUUAAAAGAUCUUGCUGCUGCGGAUGAUUCGACUGCACCGGGUAUUUCUCCAUUUAUGUCUGUUGAUCCUGCAGCACCGGCCACGUCUUGUUCUUCGGUGGACCAAUUAAGGGAGUUACUUCUUGAUGAGGAAAAAGGGAUGUAUGAGCGAUAUGCAGCUCUUUUUGCACUUCGAAAUGACGGUGGAAACAAAGCCGUUGCUGCUAUUAUUGAUUCCUUGGGUUCCAAGAGUGCUUUACUAAAACAUGAGGUUGCAUAUGUUUUGGGCCAAUUGCAAGACAAAGCCGCUUCGGCUGCUCUAUCCAAUAUACUUCGAGAUGUGAAUGAGCAUCCAAUGGUUAAGCAUGAGGCUGCCGAAGCUCUUGGUUCAAUUGCAGAUGACCAAAGUGUAGCUCUUCUUGAGGAGUUUACGGCAGACCCGGAAGCUCUUGUCUCACAAAGUUGUCAAGUUGCUCUAAGCAUGCUAGAAGCUGAAAGAUCAGGGAAAUCUUUUGAGUUCUUGUUCAUGCGCAAUGCAACUGUGGUGUAAAUAUUUUCUUAUGUUUACACAUUCCAAUAAUGUUAAGAAAUGAAGAAUCUGCAUGAGAAUGAAGGGAGAAGGAUAAGUCAAGUGAGAAAGAUAUUAGUGAUAGUCAACCCGUUGAGGAACAGAAGUCUUGUAGUCCCACUAUUGAUCUAAAAGAAUCUCCACACCUUGAGCCACAACCACCUCCUGAUGAGUUGCUUUCAAUGGAAGAAGAUAUGGACAUUUGUGAUACCCCUCCUCAUGUCCCUGUGGUGACAGAUUUGUCAUCAGGAAAAUGGUUUUACCUUGAUUACGGAGGUGUAGAAAAUGGGCCUGCCAAAUUGUGUGACAUUAAGUUCCUUGUUAAUGAAGGGGUACUAAUGUCAGAUCACUUUAUCAAGCACUUGGAUAGUGACAGAUGGCUAAUAGUUGAAAAUGCGGUGUCGCCAUUGGCUGCUCAGAGUUUCCCGUCCAUUGUGUCAGAUACAAUAACUCAGCAUGUCCUCCUGCAGCAUCAAACGCAACGAGUUUUGCGUAAAUUCACCAAGUUUCGAUGUACUAAGAUGGCAUGAACAAAGAAGAAAAAGCUUACCGUAAGUGAAUGUCGGCGUUGUCACUACAGCAAACACAACUGUGGCCCUGCAAGAAUUAAACGAAAUCACAAUGCCCACUAUCAAAACCAGAUCAACAAGAAUCAGCACUUGGAAAGGAAGAAGAGCAAGAACAAGAUCAUUCAUUCAGUGUGAAGAUUUUUCUCUAGCAUGGUGGUUCUGUUUGGGAUGCAUGCUUCAGUUGUGCUUCAAAUCAAGUAGCUUAAGUUUGUUGACACUGCCAUUUUCUUUCUCUUAAUUUCGUAUGCUAUCUGGAAUCUUGAUUCAAAUAUUCCAUGGAAUUCUUGGAGGCUGGACUGCUUAUCUCAUCAGUGUCCUAUAUGUUGAGUACCGAACCGGAAAGGAAAAGGAAAAUGCUGCAGAGGAACACUGGCGGAAUUUAGCAGAAUAUAGGAAGUUUCUGAAAUCCUGUGAUUUUGUGAAGGUGAAUAGUCAUUGGCGAAAAAUCCAAGAUCGGCUAGAGGAUGAUGAUAGACACUUACUACUUGAAAAAAUUGACCGCUUGCUUGUUUACCAAGAUUAUAUUCGUGACUUGGAGAAGGAGGAAGAGGAACAGAAAAGGAUACAGAAGGAACGACUCCGUCGGGGUGAAAGGCAAAACCGUGAUGCAUUUCGCAAGUUGCUGGAAGAACAUAUUACUGAUAGAGUUCUUACUGCUAAAACACAAUGGCGAGAUUACUGCUUGAAGGUGAAAGAGUUGCCUCAAUAUCAAGCUGUUGCAUCAAAUACAUCUGGUUCUACCCCGAGAGAUUUAUAUGAGGAUGUCUUUGAAUAUCUUGAAAAGAAAUAUCAUUAGGCCAAGACGCACUCUUCUUGUUCGACCAAAUGAUUCCCUCGCAUGCCGAAACAAUGAUUCUGAAGCUAUCACUGUUGUUAAUCCUUCUCAAGAUGCAGAUGUUCACACCAAAGUUCCUCAAGGGGCCGAUGAUGAAAAGGCCAUUAAGUUGGAGAGUUUGUCUUCUUAUAUGAGUUCACUUGGAUUCACAUAAAUGGAAUAUGUUGAAGGCAACCAACAUGAAGCUUCAAUUGAUGAUUCAAAGCAAAUUAAAAUUCAAAAGGCUCGCCUGAAUUUAUAUCAUCAGUGAAGACAUUUUGUUUGCUCUUGGAACACUCUAUGUCAUUUGAAGGCUCUGUUGAGUUGCAUGUCACUUCUUCCAAAGCAUUGCUUAUAAUUGGAUCGCAUAUGCCAGAGGUGGUAGCAUCACAUUAUGCUCUCAAAGUUUCAUGGCUUAAGCAACUACUACUGAAUCAGGUAGAUUGGGACACUCGGGAAUCCAUUGCAUGUUUACUUGGAAUCGUGUCUUCUGCUCUUCCUCUGCCAGCUGUUACGGAAAAACCUAGCAAACAAAUUGAUGAACAAAUGUAGAACCACCAAACCAGAGUCUUGAGAAUACUACCCAUGUAUUUGUUGCACCUGACCGGCCAACUGUGAUUUAUAGUAGUAACAAAAAGUUACUCUAUAGUAAUGUAAAUCUGAAGGAAGUGAGUCACAUGUGCCCUUUCAACUCUGCUGCUUUUCCAGACAGUUUAGCAAUCGCAAAGGAAGAGGAAAAUGAGCCAACCAAGGGAAGGAUUCUUGUGUUUUCAGUUGAAGAGGGAAAGCUACAACUAAUUGCCGAAAAAGAAACAAAAGGAGAUGUUUACUGCUUGAAUGCGUUUAAUGGUAAAUUGCUUGCUGCUAUUAAUCAAAAGAUUCAGCUGUACAAGUGGGUGCUCCGGGAAGAUGGCACUCACGAAUUACAGUCUGAAUGCGGACACCAUGGGCACAUACUGGCUUUAUAUGUGCAAACCAGAGGAGAUUUUAUCGUAGUUGUUGAUCUGAUAAAGUGUCUAUAGUGCAUUGCUGGAAAUGUUUCUUUGCCCGUUAUUUCCAUAAUUGGUGCAAGAACAAUGCAUUAUAUGGCUUGCUCGUUGAUUCCUCUACUGUUGCUGUUGGUUUAAUCAGGAAAAAAUCAGUUUCACUUUUCGGUCUCUGGAAGAUAUUGAGCGGAUUGUAGAGAUUCAGAGGAAAUUAGCGAGCUCACAGGCAUUGUGGAUUUGUUUGAUGAUGAUAUUAAGUGUGAAAUUCUGAUCGAAUUGCUCAAGUGUGUCACGAGUUUCAGCCAACUGUUGGGCAAAACUGCCUCUUCUAUAUUUUAUGAAUCACUUUUAAUUGCACUGAUGAUCUCUUAUGAAGAUAUUGUUCAUUGUAUAGUGAAGGUUCUUGAAACUGGUUAUUGUAUAUCAGGUGCAGUGCUCCGAAGAUCUACAUCUGGGGAUCAUACAAUAUUCCUGCAAAAGGAACUAACAGAUCAUAGAAGUUUGAGAAAACUCUCUGUUGACAUGUUUUUGUCUCUUCAAGGCCCGUACAAAAAGCGUCUACAUGGGACAAGAUUUUAAAUGUAAUUGAGGGUUUACUAAAAUUUCUGGUUCCGCAGAAAGAAAUGCUUAAGUCUGAUACUGAAAUGUCAUCAAACAUAAAUUCCUCAAUCAUGGUACAUUCUUCAUAUCAUAUUGCAAAAGUGAUGUUUGAACCUGCCUGGGACUUUCUCCUGUUUUUAAGCUAUUUGGUGGACAUCAGCAGUCGGGUCCACUUGUCACCCGACGAUAUAACCAAAAUACAACUUGAGUUAGUUCCGAUGCUUCAAGAAAUUAUUUUUGAGUGGUUGGUCAUCAUCUUUUUGCCAUCACACCGGUUGCACUAGCUAUUACAGAGGACUUCCAUUCAAAACUUUCAUCAUUGCAAAUAGAUAAUAACACAGGGAAACCCAAUAUUAGGAGUCCAUAUCUUCUUAUAUUCGAAGGAUGUAUCUGAGAUAAAAUGUUUGCAAGGUUCGGCUCAUGGUCCACGACAAGAAGCAGCUCUAUGUCAUGCUGUAACAGAUGCGGACGGAAAGUUCUCAUUCAAUUCAAUACCUUGUGGAAGUUAUGAACCAGUUCCCUACUACAAGGGUAACUGGAUUUUCUGUUGGAGGCCGUGUAGUUGUUGGAAAUGACAUGGGAGUGGAGGGUGUUAUGGUCAUAGUUGAUGGUCAUGAAAGGUCUAUUACUGACAAUCAAGGAUAUUACAAGCUUGACCAAGUUACAUCAACACACUAUACCAUAGAAGCCCGAAACAAGCAUUACAAAUUCAAGAAGUUAGAGAAUUAUAUGGUAUUGCCAAAUAUGGUUUCAAUAGAAGACAUUGUUGCUGUUUCAUAUGAUAUUUGUGGUUUGGUUGGGAUGGUUAGUAGCAGUCAGAAAGCAACGGUGGCUUUGACUCAUGGACCUGAUAAUGUGAAGCCGCAAAAGAAACAAACUGAUGGAAAUGGAAAUUUCUGCUUUGAGGUUAUUCUUGGCUCUGGUUAAUGUCCGCGGUGCUGUGGUCUGCAAGGAAGAAUGCGAUCCAUCUGUAUAUGUGACUAUUGUGAGGCAGGGUGCUAAACAUAAUGAAACUAGGAAGACAAUUAGCUUGACCUCCGAUAGUAGUGAAUUUCUGUUUUCUGAUGUUAUUCCUGGAAAAUACAGACUUGAGGUGAAACACAGGUCCUCUGAAUCGCCGCACCUUCACCGCCAUUUUAAUCCAUGAUUCAAACAACACAAACACCCAAAAUUAGUUAAUUCCAGAACAAAUCUUUCAAUUAAAUGAGUUACAAAGGUGAAGUUUUUUUCUUACCCACAGUGAAGUUUUGGAAAUGAAGAGAAUUGAGGGAGGGACCACAAAGUUGAAUAUGGACAAAAACUUCCCAACCUCCAUACAGACACUUCCCACUACACUGAGACUACACAGCAGGAAACACAGCAGAGGAAAGAGAUUAAUGGCAUAUAAAAGGAGGAUCACGGUUCACAAAAAAACCUAGAGAGGAUUGGCGGCUACCAUUAAGAAAAGAAAAGGAGAGAAUUGAAGGCAACGCUUGUCUACAUUCACCUGUCGAGCUCGCCGCAACCGGUGGUUCUGAGCAGGAUAAGGGUAAGGGAAAGAUAGAGUGAUGUCUUGCUUACCUGAGGACUGGUGGCUUUUCUUCUGCUGUGUAGAUAUUUUUGAGAUCAUUGUCUAAUGAUCUAGAUCAGUAGUUUUAUUUUGGGCACUCUUAUGUACAUUUAUGGCAUAUUAUGUUAUUUUGGGCAUGUAUUUGUAUAUGUACACUGUGCUGCUAGGCACUUAUGUAUUUCAGUACUAGUAUUACACUUUGUAUAAUAUGUAUUCUAGACAUA